rnacentral:rRNA from 1 species
UGGAUCCAGACUUUGAUUAUGGCUCAGGACGAACGCUGGCGGCGUGCCUAACACAUGCAAGUCGAGCGGAGACAUUAAGUAGCUUGCUACGAGAUGUUUUAGCGGCGGACGGGUGAGUAACGCGUGAGCAACCUGUCCCAAACAGGGGGAUAAGAUACCGAAAGGUGUUCUAAUACCGCAUGAGACCACAGAGUCACAUGGCUUAGGGGUCAAAGGAGAAAUCCGGUUUGGGGUGGGCUCGCGUCCGAUUAGAUAGUUGGUGAGGUAACGGCUCACCAAGUCGACGAUCGGUAGCCGACCUGAGAGGGUGAUCGGCCACAUUGGGACUGAGACACGGCCCAGACUCCUACGGGAGGCAGCAGUGGGGAAUAUUGGGCAAUGGGGGGAACCCUGACCCAGCAACGCCGCGUGGAGGAAGAAGGUCUUCGGAUCGUAAACUCCUGUCCUAAGAGACGAGGAGAAGACGGUAUCUUAGGAGGAAGCCCCGGCUAACUACGUGCCAGCAGCCGCGGUAAUACGUAGGGGGCAAGCGUUGUCCGGAAUGAUUGGGCGUAAAGGGCGCGUAGGCGGCCUGUUAAGUCUGGAGUGAAAGUCCUGCUUUUAAGGUGGGAAUUGCUUUGGAUACUGAGAGGCUUGAGUGCAGGAGAGGUUAGUGGAAUUCCCAGUGUAGCGGUGAAAUGCGUAGAGAUUGGGAGGAACACCAGUGGCGAAGGCGACUAACUGGACUGUAACUGACGCUGAGGCGCGAAAGUGUGGGGAGCAAACAGGAUUAGAUACCCUGGUAGUCCACACUGUAAACGAUGAAUGCUAGGUGUAGGGGGUAUCGACCCCUUCUGUGCCGGAGUUAACACAAUAAGCAUUCCGCCUGGGGAGUACGGCCGCAAGGUUGCAACUCAAAGGAAUUGACGGA